UCAGGUAGGAAUACCCGCUGAACUUAAGCAUAUCAAUAAGCGGAGGAAAAGAAACCAACAGGGAUUGCCUCAGUAACGGCGAGUGAAGCGGCAACAGCUCAAAUUUGAAAUCUGGCCCUAGGCCCGAGUUGUAAUUUGCAGAGGAUGCUUUUGGUGCGGUGCCUUCCAAGUUCCCUAGAACGGGACGCCAGAGAGGGUGAGAGCCCCGUACAGUUGGACACCAAGCCUUUGUAAAGCUCCUUCGACGAGUCGAGUAGUUUGGGAAUGCUGCUCAAAAUGGG
rnacentral:ncRNA from 1 species